rnacentral:rRNA from 1 species
CAUCACAUCCUGGGGGUGAAGCAGCUCCCAAGGGUAUGGCUGUUCGCCAUUUAAAGUGAUACGCGAGCUGGGUUCAAACCGUCGUGAGACAGGUUGGUCCCUAUCUACCGCAAGCGA